AGAAAUCAGCCUUCAUCCUAUUCCAACUGGAGAGUCUUCCAGCAUUUGCAUUUGAUCAUCUCUGAAGAACGAAGUCGGCCUACUGGAGUUCUUCCAAAAUGUGAUAAAAGAAACUAGGGCAGAGCCAAAAAAGGUGACUAGUUGGGUCCUCAACACUUUUCUGGGCUAUUUAAAGCAACAGAACCUCGCUGUCAGUGAGAGUCCUGUCACACCCUCUGCACUCGCUGAGCUUCUUGACCUGCUGGACAGCAGAACAAUUUCUUCAUCAGCAGCUAAACAGGUGUUUGAGGAACUGUGGAAGAGGGAAGGCAAGACUCCAGGGCAGAUUGUUUCAGAAAAGCAGCUUGAACUGAUGCAGGACCAGGGGGCACUGGAGCAGCUCUGCCACUCUGUGAUGGAGGCCCAUCCUCAAGUGGUAAUGGAUGUGAAGAACAGAAACCCCAGAGCUAUAAAUAAACUGAUUGGGUUGGUCCGGAAAGCGACUCAAAGCCGAGCAGAUCCAGUCAUGAUAAAGGAGAUCCUGGAGAAGAAGCUGUCAUUGUGAGAUGUUUGGGAUCCCCUUGCCCAAGGGACAA
rnacentral:sRNA from 1 species